rnacentral:tRNA from 1 species
GGAUUUGUGCCUGAACCAUAGGAUUACCUUGAUAGGGUAAAUCAUGGGGGUUAAAGUCCCCUCAAAUCCU